rnacentral:rRNA from 1 species
GAUGAACGCUGGCGGCGUGCCUAAUACAUGCAAGUCGAGCGAACAGACGAGGAGCUUGCUCCUCUGACGUUAGCGGCGGACGGGUGAGUAACACGUGGAUAACCUACCUAUAAGACUGGGAUAACUUCGGGAAACCGGAGCUAAUACCGGAUAAUAUAUUGAACCGCAUGGUUCAAUAGUGAAAGACGGUUUUGCUGUCACUUAUAGAUGGAUCCGCGCCGCAUUAGCUGGUUGGUAAGGUAACGGCUUACCAAGGCAACGAUGCGUAGCCGACCUGAGAGGGUGAUCGGCCACACUGGAACUGAGACACGGUCCAGACUCCUACGGGAGGCAGCAGUAGGGAAUCUUCCGCAAUGGGCGAAAGCCUGACGGAGCAACGCCGCGUGAGUGAUGAAGGUCUUCGGAUCGUAAAACUCUGUUAUUAGGGAAGAACAAAUGUGUAAGUAACUAGGCACGUCUUGACGGUACCUAAUCAGAAAGCCACGGCUAACUACGUGC